ACGGAGGGUGCAAGCGUUAUCCGGAUUCACUGGGUUUAAAGGGUGCGUAGGCGGCGUGGUAAGUCACUUGUGAAAUCUCUGAGCUUAACUCAGAACGGCCAAGUGAUACUGCUGUGCUAGAGUGCAGAAGGGGCAAUCGGAAUUCUUGGUGUAGCGGUGAAAUGCGUAGAUAUCAAGAGGAACACCUGAGGUGAAGACGGGUUGCUGGGCCGACACUGACGCUGACAGCGCGAAAGCCAGGGGAGCAAACGGGA
rnacentral:rRNA from 1 species